rnacentral:rRNA from 1 species
AGAGUUUGAUCCUGGCUCAGGAUGAACGCUAGCGGCAGGCUUAACACAUGCAAGUCGAGGGGCAGCGGGGAGGAAGCUUGCUUUCUCCGCCGGCGACCGGCGCACGGGUGAGUAACACGUAUGCAACCUGCCCCUGUCAGGGGGACAACCCGCCGAAAGGCGGGCUAAACCCGCGUACAUGCCACCGGGGCAUCCCGGAGGCAGGAAAGGCUUCGGCCGGACAGGGAUGGGCAUGCGGCGCAUUAGGCAGUAGGCGGGGUAACGGCCCACCUAACCGACGAUGCGUAGGGGUUCUGAGAGGAAGGUCCCCCACACUGGUACUGAGACACGGACCAGACUCCUACGGGAGGCAGCAGUGAGGAAUAUUGGUCAAUGGUCGGGAGACUGAACCAGCCAAGCCGCGUGAGGGAGGAAGGUACAGAGUAUCGUAAACCUCUUUUGUCAGGGAACAAAGGCGGGGACGUGUCCCCGGAUGAGUGGACCUGAAGAAAAAGCAUCGGCUAACUCCGUGCCAGCAGCCGCGGUAAUACGGAGGAUGCGAGCGUUAUCCGGAUUUAUUGGGUUUAAAGGGUGCGCAGGCGGUCUGUUAAGUCAGCGGUCAAAGCCCGGGGCUCAACCCCGGCCCGCCGUUGAAACUGGCAGUCUCGAGUUGGAGAGAAGUAUGCGGAAUGCGCGGUGUAGCGGUGAAAUGCAUAGAUAUCGCGCAGAACUCCGAUUGCGAAGGCAGCAUGCCGGCUCCACACUGACGCUGAGGCACGAAAGCGUGGGUAUCGAACAGGAUUAGAUACCCUGGUAGUCCACGCAGUAAACGAUGAAUGCUGGCUGUCCGGGGGGAUUGACCCCUGGGUGGCGAAGCGAAAGCGAUAAGCAUUCCACCUGGGGAGUACGCCGGCAACGGUGAAACUCAAAGGAAUUGACGGGGGCCCGCACAAGCGGAGGAACAUGUGGUUUAAUUCGAUGAUACGCGAGGAACCUUACCCGGGCUCAAACGGGGAGUGACUCAGGCAGAGACGCCUGUUUCCCACGGGACACUCCCCGAGGUGCUGCAUGGUUGUCGUCAGCUCGUGCCGUGAGGUGUCGGCUUAAGUGCCAUAACGAGCGCAACCCCCGCGUGCAGUUGCUAACAGAUAACGCUGAGGACUCUGCGCGGACCGCCGGCGCAAGCCGCGAGGAAGGCGGGGAUGACGUCAAAUCAGCACGGCCCUUACGUCCGGGGCGACACACGUGUUACAAUGGGUGGUACAGCGGGAAGCCAGGCGGCGACGCCGAGCGGAACCCGAAAUCCACUCUCAGUUCGGAUCGGGGUCUGCAACCCGACUCCGUGAAGCUGGAUUCGCUAGUAAUCGCGCAUCAGCCAUGGCGCGGUGAAUACGUUCCCGGGCCUUGCACUCACCGCCCGUCA